rnacentral:rRNA from 1 species
AUGGAUCACCGAACUAUUACCUCACAAAAAGUACUGGAGCGUAUUCUAUUUGAUGAAAGCGCAGAACCAAAGGCCCUAUCGUUAUCACUUCUGGAGCACAUCACCAAUAGUUUCUCUGAUGACAAAGAAAUUGGCUGUGGUGGCUUUGCAACGGUUUAUAAGGGAGUGCUUGACAAUGGCACUGUUGCUGUGAAGAAGCUUUGCGAUAUGGUUGAUAUGGAUGAGAAGAAAUUCAGCGAAGAAAUUCGUCGUCUGAUGAAGGCAAAGCACAAAAAUAUAGUACGGUUCCUAGGAUAUUGCUCUGACACACAAGGGGAAAUGGUAGACUGCGAGGGAAAACUUGUCUUAGCAGAUGUACGACAAAGGCUACUCUGCUUUGAAUAUCUACCUAAAGGCAGUCUAGAUAAGCACAUCACCGAUGUAUCUUGUGGACUUGAAUGGAGAAAGCGCUACCAAAUCAUCAAUGGAAUUUGUGAUGGUUUAUAUUAUCUUCACCAAAAUCACAUCGUUCACUUGGAUCUUAAACCGGUAAAUAUACUGCUAGAUGAUAAUAUGUUGCCGAAAAUUGCUGAUUUUGGUCUAUCGAGGUGCUUUGAUGAAAAGCAAAGCCAGGCUAUUACAUCAAAACUAAUUGGAACUAUAGGAUAUUUGGCACCAGAAUUUUAUACGCGCAAACAGAUCACAUUCAAGUUAGACAUUUAUAGUCUUGGUAUGAUAAUCAUAGAGAUACUAACAGGAGACAGGGGACAUGCUGAUAUUGACAAUGUACUUGAGAGGUGGAGAAGUAGGUUGGAGAAAUCUCAGGGAGACAGACAACUGGUACAAGUACGAGUAUGCACUGAGAUAGCGAUUGAGUGCGCUGACUUCAACCCGGCGAAACGACCAGAUACUCAGCAUAUAAUUGAUAGGCUCGGCGAAACAAGAAAUGCGGAUGAGUUCGCUACUGAAACUGGGGCGAGUAGUAGUUCAUCAGUAGCAAAGUCAGGAGCUGUGGCCCCUGGUCCCACAAUUGGUCCAGAGAAUACAAUGGCUAAUGAGUUAGAGAAGUUGACAGAAGGACUAUAUGAUAUGACAAAAAACCAGCGUUUCAGUUUGAUGCCCGAUGAUAGCUCUAAUGUGCAGCAAGAAACUGACAUAUAG